CAGUAAGGCACACCUGACUAAUGGCUAUUCCUUGAUGAGGUUCAGAACUGACAGCAAUUCUCAGGAUCCUACCAGCUGAGUAACAGACCAGACCACAGUAAAGCCAGUGAAUCACAGUGAACAUAUCCCUGAGGCUGAUGUCACCAGAUGACAACUCAGAGCCAAAGCAGGUGCUAAAGGAGCACUGCUCACCCUGGAAGAAGCUUGUUGCUGUAGCAACCUGUUGGAACACCUGGAAUGCUGAAGUGACCACAGGUGCAUGAGCACGCAAUACACAAAGGUUUGGCUGAUAAGCAGUCUUGAAGUAAACAAGCUAUCUCGAGAUGCAUUUUUGGCACAGAAAUUAGUCCUGAUUAUCAAGGACUGAAGGAACAGUAACAGUUUAAACCUCCUAAGUGAG